GCUGAAGUACAUUUAUGGGCUAAGGUGUAGUUUAGUUUAACAGAACAAUCACUUCAUAAAUAGGCUUUUAACAUUUUUAUUUUGUGUAAAAAAGGCAAAUUUAGUGAAUUAUUUUCAUCUUGUACACAAAGUUAUAAUUUUAAUGCUUUUCACAUCCAUGCUGAAAAUCUGCAGUCUCGUAAAAAUGAAAGUAACAUUAAUUUCUCCAAAAGCAUUUUUUCACUUAGUUAUGUACAUUGCAUGAGAAAGUUUUAAAUACUUUCUCUCAUUGACCACACAAAUUACCAAGAAAAUAAAAGAUUAAAUUUGUACAGAUAUUGAUCUAUAUAUCAAAUACAUACAGAAAUGAUGUAAAAACCCUAUUUGUUUUAUCUUGAUUCGCGCCCCAGCAUAUCUCCCAGGGGCCAAAGGGGAGGCCUUUUUGUAUAAACGGCUGUGGCUUUUCUUAAAUAUGAAAAUUAAAAGGAAGAAAAAUUCAGUUUAAAUCACAGUUUUUAAAAUCCCUUCCCAAUAAAGGAUUGUUACCAAAUAUAUUAGCACCAUUGUACAAAUAUUGACGGGAGAGGGUAUUCACAUCACAUAAAACAACAAUAAUAAAAACAAACAAACACUGAAACCCGUGUUAGUAUCCGUAGAACAAGAAAUUGAUAACUGCUUUAGCUUUCCUCAGAUGCAGCAAGGAAAAGGUUAAAGAGUUGUAUUUAAAAUAACAUAAAAAUCAAAAAUCAGAUUUUGAGCAAUAAAAGAGGGUAGCUGCAAAGUAAGAUGUGACUUGCAGUACCCCAUAGUUGUAAAAACCUGCUAUGCCAAAUACUGAAAUUAAUUUGAUCCCCAUUAAAGAUUUCAGACGUCCAACACCUUGCUCUUCUUUUAGCCAAGUAACACAGCUUAGAGUGUAAAUAAACAUGUGUAGAACCAUGUUACUAAUUAAAGCUU